rnacentral:rRNA from 1 species
UACGAAGGGGGCUAGCGUUGCUCGGAACCACUGGGCGUAAAGCGCACGUAGGCGGCUUUCUAAGUCAGGGGUGAAAUCCUGGAGCUCAACUCCAGAACUGCCUUUGAUACUGGAGAGCUUGAGUCCGGGAGAGGUGAGUGGAACUCCGAGUGUAGAGGUGAAAUUCGUAGAUAUUCGGAAGAACACCAGUGGCGAAGGCGACUUACUAGACGACUGUUGACGCUGAGGUGCGAAAGCGUGGGGAGCAAACAGG